UUUGAACAUGUAAAAGUUCAGCUUUAAUUUUAACUAAGUUAGAGUUCAGGUAUUUUGUUUAGCAAUUUGUUGCUGAAGCAGUUACACACUAACACUGUAGUGUAAGCUUUUGGUGAUCAAUGAUUUCCAGAACUAGAAAAUGUUCUCUCUUUCUCAAACUUUCUAUCUUCUUUCUCUAUUAAUCCUUUGAAUCUUGAAGAGAAUUUCAACUUUCUAACAGGUAGGGAAGUGUUGGCAACCUUGACAAAGAAACAAUAGAACUCAUCUCUCUUUCUCAAACUUUCUAUCUUCUUUCUCUAUUAAUCCUUUGAAUCUUAAGAGAAUUUCAACUUUCUAACAGGUAGGGAAGUGUUGGCAACCUUGACAAAGAAACAAUAGAACUCUAGAAGCACAUAAUAUUUACAUAAAGAAUUUAUGAUUGGACAGUUAGAUAUAGGUUCAUUUUCCUGAAAAAGAAAAUUCGGUUUCUUGAACGAGAACAUUUGUCCACUCCAGCUUCAAUAAUAAAGCUUUAAUUAAAUUCUUCCCCAUUUCAGUAGUUCAGCAGUUCAGGAACUCAAAGUCAAGCAACAUGUGAGCCACUACUAAGUUCAUCUCUUGGCAACUAACAACAAAUUCUCAAAAGAGAAUAAUACAAGCAAUUUAUCAAACCUAACCACAAACAUAAAUUUGACAAAGGAAAAGCAAAUUAUGGAUGAUAACAACAUAGAACAGAGCCAGCAUAAUUGUCUGGAGGAUGGGAAGACAUGGCUAGUAACACUAAUCCCCAUGACUACCAUUAUAUUACAGUCAAUCAGAUGCUGUGUAGGUUCUCAUUUUGCUCUUCUUUUUUUUCCUGUGUAAUCUUAACUUCAAUAAGAAAAUUACAAUUAGUAGAAUUAUAUCAUAGGGUAUUCACUACAAGCACUAUAAAGUUUAACAUUACCUAGAUCUCUACUGCCUUAACAUGUGUGAAACUCUUCAAAGUAAUUUAGAAAUU
rnacentral:lncRNA from 1 species